rnacentral:rRNA from 1 species
GGGGAAUAUUGCACAAUGGGCGCAAGCCUGAUGCAGCGACGCCGCGUGCGGGAUGGAGGCCUUCGGGUUGUAAACCGCUUUUGUUCAAGGGCAAGGCACGGUUUCGGCCGUGUUGAGUGGAUUGUUCAAAUAAGCACCGGCUAACUACGUGCCAGCAGCCGCGGUAAUACGUAGGGAGCAAGCGUUGUCCGGAUUUACUGGGUGUAAAGGGUGCGUAGGCGGCACUGCAAGUCAGGCGUGAAAUAUAUGGGCUUAACCCAUAGACUGCGUUUGAAACUGUGGUGCUUGAGUGAAGUAGAGGUAGGCGGAAUUCCCGGUGUAGCGGUGAAAUGCGUAGAGAUCGGGAGGAACACCAGUGGCGAAGGCGGCUUACUGGGCUUUAACUGACGCUGAGGCACGAAAGCAUGGGUAGCAAACA